GGUUCUAUAGUGUAGUGGUUAUCACUCGAGAUUUUGAAGUUGGUGGAGUUAUACACUACGCCAUGUAUCUUCUCGGAACCCAGGUUCGAACCCUGGUAGGACCU